rnacentral:miRNA from 1 species
AUUAGGUUGGCACAAAAGUAAUUGCAGUUUUUGCCACUACUGUUAACGGCAAAAACUGCAGUUACUUUUGCACCAACCUAAUA